UACGUAGGGUGCAAGCGUUAUUCGGAAUUACUGGGCGUAAAGCGUGCGUAGGCGGGUAUGUAAGACAGAGGUGAAAUCCCCGGGCUCAACCUGGGAACGGCCUUUGUGACUGCAUAGCUAGAGUCCGGUAGAGGGGGAUGGAAUUCCGCGUGUAGCAGUGAAAUGCGUAGAUAUGCGGAGGAACACCAGUGGCGAAGGCGAUCUGCUAGGCCUGACCUGACACUCAGACGCGACAGCGUGGGGAGCGAACAGG
rnacentral:rRNA from 1 species